rnacentral:rRNA from 1 species
AAGGGCGCACGGUGGAUGCCUUGGCACUAGAAGCCGAUGAAGGACGUUACUAACGACGAUAUGCUUUGGGGAGCUGUAAGUAAGCUUUGAUCCAGAGAUUUCCGAAUGGGGAAACCCAGCAUGAGUUAUGUCAUGUUAUCGAUAUGUGAAUACAUAGCAUAUCAGAAGGCACACCCGGAGAACUGAAACAUCUUAGUACCCGGAGGAAGAGAAAGAAAAUUCGAUUCCCUUAGUAGCGGCGAGCGAAACGGGAAGAGCCCAAACCAACAAGCUUGCUUGUUGGGGUUGUAGGACACUCUAUACGGAGUUACAAAGGACGACAUUAGACGAAUCAUCUGGAAAGAUGAAUCAAAGAAGGUAAUAAUCCUGUAGUCGAAAAUGUUGUCUCUCUUGAGUGGAUCCUGAGUACGACGGAGCACGUGAAAUUCCGUCGGAAUCUGGGAGGACCAUCUCCUAAGGCUAAAUACUCUCUAGUGACCGAUAGUGAACCAGUACCGUGAGGGAAAGGUGAAAAGCACCCCGGAAGGGGAGUGAAAUAGAACCUGAAACCGUGUGCUUACAAGUAGUCAGAGCCCGUUAAUGGGUGAUGGCGUGCCUUUUGUAGAAUGAACCGGCGAGUUACGAUUUGAUGCAAGGUUAAGCAGUAA